GAACGCUAGCUACAGGCUUAACACAUGCAAGUCGCGGGGCAGCAUGGGGGUUGCUUGCAAUCCCCGAUGGCGACCGGCGCACGGGUGAGUAACGCGUACCCAACCUGCCCUUCACCACGGGAUAACCCGGCGAAAGUCGGACUAAUACCGUAUGUUGUCCAUUGACGGCAUCCGAUUUGGACGAAAGGCUUUGCGGUGAAGGAUGGGGAUGCGUCCGAUUAGCCAGACGGCGGGGUAACGGCCCACCGUGGCUACGAUCGGUAGGGGUUCUGAGAGGAAGGUCCCCCACACUGGAACUGAGACACGGUCCAGACUCCUACGGGAGGCAGCAGUGAGGAAUAUUGGUCAAUGGGCGUAAGCCUGAACCAGCCAAGUAGCGUGCAGGAUGACGGCCCUAUGGGUGGUAAACUGCUUUUAUGCGGGGAUAAAGUGGCCCACGUGUGGGUUUUUGCAGGUACCGCAUGAAUAAGGACCGGCUAAUUCCGUGCCAGCAGCCGCGGUAAUACGGAAGGUCCGGGCGUUAUCCGGAUUUAUUGGGUUUAAAGGGAGCGUAGGCCGCGCCUUAAGCGUGUUGUGAAAUCCGGGUGCUCAACAUCCGGCUUGCAGCGCGAACUGGGGCGCUUGAGUGCGCUGAAAGUAGGCGGAAUUCGUGGUGUAGCGGUGAAAUGCUUAGAUAUCACGAGGACUCCGAUUGCGAAGGCAGCCUACUGUAGCGCUACUGGCGCUGAUGCUCGAAAGCGUGGGUAUCGAACAGGAUUAGAUACCCUGGUAGUCCACGCGGUAAACGAUGGAUGCUCGUUGUCGGCCCCUUGGGUCGGUGACCAAGCGAAAGCGUUAAGCAUCC
rnacentral:rRNA from 1 species